GACGAACGCUGGCGGCGUGCCUAAUACAUGCAAGCCGAGCGCAGGAAAUCAUCCGAACCCUUCGGGGGGACGUUGAUGGAAUGAGCGGCGGACGGGUGAGUAACACGUAAAGAACCUGCCCUCAGGUCUGGGAUAACCACGAGAAAUCGGGGCUAAUACCGGAUGGGUCAUCGGACCGCAUGGUCCGAGGAUGAAAGGCGCUUCGGCGUCGCCUGGGGAUGGCUUUGCGGUGCAUUAGCUAGUUGGUGGGGUAAUGGCCCACCAAGGCGACGAUGCAUAGCCGACCUGAGAGGGUGAUCGGCCACACUGGACUGAGACACGGCCCAGACUCCUACGGGAGGCAGCAGUAGGGAAUCUUCCACAAUGGACGAAAGUCUGAUGGAGCAACGCCGCGUGAACGAUGAAGGCCUUCGGGUCGUAAAGUUCUGUUGUAAGGGAAGAACAAGUGCCGCAGGCAAUGGCGGCACCUUGACGGUACCUUGCGAGAAAGCCACGGCUAACUACGUGCCAGCAGCCGCCGUAAAAC
rnacentral:rRNA from 1 species